rnacentral:ncRNA from 2 species
ACGAAGGAUAUAGGAGAGAGCCUAACGGCCGCCGAAGGGACAAACAUAACCAUUCACACAUGGAAUGUGAAAUUCUCAGGCAAAAGGAUUAUAUCUGGACA